UGGACGUAUCACAAGUGCGAAUGCUGACAUAAGUAACGAUAAAACGGGUGAAAAACCCGUUCGCCGGAAGACCAAGGUUUCCUGUCCAACGUUAAUCGGGGCAGGGUGAGUCGGCCCCUAAGGCGAGGCUGAAAAGCGUAGUCGAUGGGAAACGGGUUAAUAUUCCCGUACUUGGUAAAGCUGCGAUGUGGGGACGGAGCAGGUUAGGUUAGCGUACUGUUGGAUGUGUACGUUUAAGUUAGUAGGUGGGGAGCUUAGGCAAAUCCGGGCUCCUAUGAAACACUGAGAGAUGAUGACGAGGCACUAAGGUGCUGAAGUAACUGAUACCACACUUCCAGGAAAAGCCACUAAGCUUCAGGCUUUACUAAACCGUACUGAAAACCGACACAGGUGGUCAGGUAGAGAAUACUCAGGCGCUUGAGAGAACUCGGGUGAAGGAACUAGGCAAAAUAGCACCGUAACUUCGGGAGAAGGUGCGCCGGCGUAGCUUGUAGCGUCUUGCACGUGAAGGGUGAACCGGUCGAAGAUACCAGCUGGCUGCAACUGUUUAUUAAAAACACAGCACUCUGCAAACACGAAAGUGGACGUAUAGGGUGUGAUGCCUGCCCGGUGCUGGAAGGUUAAUUGAUGGUGUAAUCGAAAGAGAAGCUCCUGAUCGAAGCCCCAGUAAACGGCGGCCGUAACUAUAACGGUCCUAAGGUAGCGAAAUUCCUUGUCGGGUAAGUUCCGACCUGCACGAAUGGCAUAAUGAUGGCCAGGCUGUCUCCACCCGAGACUCAGUGAAAUUGAAAUCGCCGUGAAGAUGCGGUGUACCCGCGGCUAGACGGAAAGACCCCGUGAACCUUUACUAUAGCUUGACACUGAACAUUGAAUUUUGAUGUGUAGGAUAGGUGGGAGACUUUGAAGUGUGAACGCCAGUUUGCAUGGAGUCGUCCUUGAAAUACCACCCUUUAACGUUUGAUGUUCUAACGAAGAUUGCGAAACGCGGUCUCGGACAGUGUCUGGUGGGUAGUUUGACUGGGGCGGUCUCCUCCCAAAGCGUAACGGAGGAGCACGAAGGUUUGCUAAUCACGGUCGGACAUCGUGAGGUUAGUGCAAUGGUAUAAGCAAGCUUAACUGCGAGACAGACAAGUCGAGCAGGUACGAAAGUAGGUCAUAGUGAUCCGGUGGUUCUGAAUGGAAGGGCCAUCGCUCAACGGAUAAAAGGUACUCCGGGGAUAACAGGCUGAUACCGCCCAAGAGUUCAUAUCGACGGCGGUGUUUGGCACCUCGAUGUCGGCUCAUCACAUCCUGGGGCUGAAGUAGGUCCCAAGGGUAUGGCUGUUCGCCAUUUAAAGUGGUACGCGAGCUGGGUUUAGAACGUCGUGAGACAGUUCGGUCCCUAUCUGCCGUGGGCGUAGGAGAAUUGAGAGGGGCUGCUCCUAGUACGAGAGGACCGGAGUGGACGCACCACUGGUGUUUCGGUUGUAUCGCCAGAUGCAUUGCCGAGUAGCUAAGUGCGGAAGAGAUAAGUGCUGAAAGCAUCUAAGCACGAAACUUGCCUUAAGAUGAGUUCUCCCACAUGAAAGUGUGUAAGGGUUGUUUAAGACUAAGACGUAGAUAGGUGGGGUGUGUAAGUGUAGUGAUAUAUUGAGCUAACCCAUACUAAUUGCCCGAGAGGCUUAACUAUACAACGCUCAAG
rnacentral:rRNA from 1 species